GCCCCGGUAAACGGCGGCCGUAACUAUAACGGUCCUAAGGUAGCGAAAUUCCUUGUCGGGUAAGUUCCGACCUGCACGAAUGGCGUAAUGAUGGCCAGGCUGUCUCCACCCGAGACUCAGUGAAAUUGAACUCGCUGUGAAGAUGCAGUGUACCCGCGGCAAGACGGAAAGACCCCGUGAACCUUUACUAUAGCUUGACACUGAACAUUGAGCCUUGAUGUGUAGGAUAGGUGGGAGGCUUUGAAGUGUGGACGCCAGUCUGCAUGGAGCCGACCUUGAAAUACCACCCUUUAAUGUUUGAUGUUCUAACGUUGGCCCGUAAUCCGGGUUGCGGACAGUGUCUGGUGGGUAGUUUGACUGGGGCGGUCUCCUCCUAAAGAGUAACGGAGGAGCACGAAGGUUGGCUAAUCCUGGUCGGACAUCAGGAGGUUAGUGCAAUGGCAUAAGCCAGCUUGACUGCGAGCGUGACGGCGCGAGCAGGUGCGAAAGCAGGUCAUAGUGAUCCGGUGGUUCUGAAUGGAAGGGCCAUCGCUCAACGGAUAAAAGGUACUCCGGGGAUAACAGGCUGAUACCGCCCAAGAGUUCAUAUCGACGGCGGUGUUUGGCACCUCGAUGUCGGCUCAUCACAUCCUGGGGCUGAAGUAGGUCCCAAGGGUAUGGCUGUUCGCCAUUUAAAGUGGUACGCGAGCUGGGUUUAGAACGUCGUGAGACAGUUCGGUCCCUAUCUGCCGUGGGCGCUGGAGAACUGAGGGGGGCUGCUCCUAGUACGAGAGGACCGGAGUGGACGCAUCACUGGUGUUCGGGUUGUCAUGCCA
rnacentral:rRNA from 1 species